GGAAUAUUGGGCAAUGGACGGAAGUCUGACCCAGCCAUGCCGCGUGCAGGAUGAAGGCCUUCUGGGUUGUAAACUGCUUUUAUCUGGGAAGAAAACACCUAUGCGUAGGAAACUGACGGUACCAGAUGAAUAAGCACCGGCUAACUCCGUGCCAGCAGCCGCGGUAAUACGGAGGGUGCAAGCGUUGUCCGGAUUUAUUGGGUUUAAAGGGUGCGUAGGCGGCCCGUUAAGUCCGUGGUGAAAGCCUCCAGCUCAACUGGAGAACUGCCAUGGAUACUGGCGGGCUUGAGUACAGACGAGGUUGGCGGAAUUGAUUGUGUAGCGGUGAAAUGCAUAGAUACAAUCAAGAACUCCGAUUGCGUAGGCAGCUAACUAGGCUGUAACUGACGCUGAGGCACGAAAGCGUGGGGAGCGAACAGGAUUAGAUACCCUGGUAGUCCACGCUGUAAACGAUGAUUACUCGAUGUUGGCGAUAAACUGUCAG
rnacentral:rRNA from 1 species